GACGAACGCUAGCGGUGUGCUUAACGCAUGCAAGUCGAGCGAGGCCUCGCCUUCGGGUGGGUGCCCUAGCGGCGAACGGGUGAGUAACACGUGGGUAACCUGCCUCCGACUCUGGGAUAACUUCGGGAAACCGGGGCUAAUACUGGAUAUGACAUAGCGCUGCAUGGUGUGGUGUGGAAAGAUUUUUUGGUCGGAGAUGGGCCCGCGGCCUAUCAGCUUGUUGGUGGGGUGAUGGCCUACCAAGGCGACGACGGGUAGCCGGCCUGAGAGGGCGAUCGGCCACACUGGGACUGAGACACGGCCCAGACUCCUACGGGAGGCAGCAGCGGGGAAUAUUGCGCAAUGGGCGGAAGCCUGACGCAGCGACACCGCGUGAGGGAUGACGGCCUUCGGGUUGUAAACCUCUUUCAGCUCCGACGAAGCGUGAGUGACGGUAGGGGCAGAAGAAGCACCGGCCAACUACGUGCCAGCCGCCGCAGUAAAAC
rnacentral:rRNA from 1 species